rnacentral:rRNA from 1 species
UACGUAGGCAGCAAGCGUUGUUCGGAAUUACUGGGCGUAAAGCGAGUGUAGGCGGUGCUAUAAGUUUGGUGUGAAAUCUCCCGGCUUAACUGGGAGGGUGCGCCGAAGACUGUAGUGCUAGAGUGUGGGAGAGGUAGGCGGAAUUCCUGGUGUAGCGGUGAAAUGCGUAGAUAUCGGGAAGAACACCCGCGGCGAAGGCGGCUCUCUGGGACGGUACUGACGCUGAGACGCGAAAGCGUGGGGAGCGAACAGG